GGCAGACCGUCAGGACCCAGGAGGUGGCUGCAGGGAUCGUCCAGGAUUUGAGGCCCCGGCCCCACCUGGAGGUAGAAAUCCAUGUCAGGUCACCAGCAACGGCAGCAUGCCGCCCUGUGCCCCGGCAUGUGUAGGGGCUGGCCGCAGGAGAGCAGCAGUGUGCCCCACCCUUCCGGUGGGUCCUGGCCAGAAGCUACACCACCCAAGUGACACCCACACCCAGCUCCUGCAGGCACAGCUGCCCCUGCCAGCUGGAAGCCCUCUGCCUGGAUGGACAGAGUCCCACAGUGCCUGGAAGCAUACAGCGCUGUGCACGCGGCCCUUGAGAGGAAGGCGAAGGCAUCGGCUCGCGGGCGUGAUUGCCGAUGGGGGCGUGGCCCUCUGAGCAGCCUGCAUCACUCGUCCCUCCACCCCCAGCCUCGCCCAGUCCUGCUGCUCGGAGCCUUGCCAGUGGCCUGCAGCCUCCUAUUCGAGAGCAAAUGAACGAAACACAGAGCCAAAGGCAUUCUGGCUUCCUGCCUGAAACACGGUUCAAGCAAUUCUCCUGCCUCAGCCUCCGGA